GACUUGUUUGGUAUUUUCCCUCUUUAAUUUUUCUCUUUGCUCUAUUUAUUAGGUAACUCAAACAUAUAAUCUCACUUGUGAUACCAUCGGUACUCUCUUUACCUGCUUAGCAGGUCUCUGUUUAUAUGAUUUUUAAAUGUUAUUAUAACAAUCUCUCCAUUCAUUUUAGUGUUCUUCAUUCAUCCAUUCAUCUUGGAUAUAUUCUUCACAAGAAUGUAUAUAUUCUCUCUAUUUCUAUUUAUGUUUCUUCAUCUAUUUUUCUCAAAAAAUGUUGCAGUGGGAGGUAACUCAAACAUAUCCCCUCUCUUAUGAUACUGCUCGUUAAUUCUUUUAACUACUUAGCAGGUUUCCGUUGUAUCCUGACAGUCAUGCGAUUAAUCUUUACGAUUCUCGAAGAUCACAUUAAGUGAGUAGGCCUGACCCAACAAAUCCUUUCGAGUCUUUAUUCUCAUAUGAACUGGGCGUUGUCGAUUUUGAGCCAAAACAUGGGCUAUCAUUUUAUUCCAUAAUAGUUCCCUCCCCUCCCCCCUCCCCCCCAAUCCAAGUAUCAAGGACAUUAGGAUGCUUGGAGUGUGUCAAGAUUCGAGAUAGACUCUGGCUCAAAGCAACAACAUGAUUAAGAGCUUCAAGGUGUGUUUGGGGUGAUGUGAGCCAAACUCAUGCAUCCAUAAGGUUUUACCUUUUGUAUCAACGCCUUUUUUUAUGUCCCCAAAAUUGGGAGAGAUGUGUUUUGUCACGGUUUGACAGUUGAUGGAGUGAGUAAACAUGUUCGGCCUUUGGAUUGGUGAUGAUUGCUUCGAUGUGAUUCUUUAAAGGUGUCAUGAUGAUGGGGUGCAAAGUGCGAAAGCUCGUCUUAGCCCUCGCUUGGGAAGUGAAAGAUCGCAUUUCCCUGUAUUUAUUUGCUUCUAAACUUAAAAUAUGGGUGCCAUUUAACCUUAUCCUAUCAAGCUUCUACCUUUAGAGACCUCUUAUGCAAGACAAGUCAGUCACUUCUUGUUGAAAUCUUCAACUCUCCUUUGUUUUGGUAAGUUCUUCCCUCUUCUCAUUUUUUUCUUUUUCCAUUGUGCAGUUUCAUGUUAGGAGUCUGAUGGCUUAGAACAAUGACUAUGAGUACUCCUCCUGCUAAAGCUAGGUCUAGCUCGCUCUUUCGACGGUUUUGCUGAACGAUGAGGAGCUCUUGUAUUCUAUUUUGCUUUCUCCUCACCAAAGUCUGCACUUAAACCAGAUAUUCAUGUGAUGGAAUCUCCAAAAUGGAAAAGAGGUUAGACACGUGAAAACUUAGGAACUUAAAGUUAUGCCUCUUGAGUUGUUUCACUAUUGCACCGAUGGUAGACAAUUGUUGUCUCCUUUUCUUCUGUUGUUGUGUACUGUUUAGGUUGUUGGAGACAUCCAAUCAUUGAGUGUUGCCGCAAUGAUCACUUGGAAAAAGUGUCACUUUUGACAUCCAUUGUGUCUAGAGUCUUUUCAGGGGUCCCAAACGUUCCUCGGCAACGUCUUCUCAAAUCCAUUCAACAGCUCAUGACCCCCCUCUCAUGGGUCACCCUCUUACUUCAUCAUGGGUGAAGCCAUAAGUUUUGUCAAUUGUGUGGGCGGAGAUUCGAUGACCUUGAGGAAGUUCUUUGAACUAACAGAAGGAGGGUGGAGGGAAAAUAAAGGUUUCCUUGAGGGACAAUACCCCAAAAAUCCAGAUGGGCAAGUUCUUAGUGUUUCUCCUGACGCUACCUCUCUUUUAUGUUUCUUCUGCGAUUGCAGCAAGAUAUGUCGUUGUGAUCCAGCUCACCCAGCCUUCGCUACCUAUAUUUCCUCUACAUCUUGUUGCGGACCAUCUGCACGAUUAUACACCUGUUAUGGGUCAUACUGUCCAUUUUCCCAAUCCACACCGCGCCUCCAACUCGAUUAACCCGAACAUGAUCAGUCUAAACAAGGUCAGCCCGAACGGGACAUGCCCAAACCACCUGAGUCACUGAGUUAGAGAAGCCUGAUUGCACUAGUCCUAGACCGUGCGAUUGCAUUGGUCCUAGGUCGUGCACAAUAGGGGCACUUACCAACUGGGGGCACAAUAGGGGGCACUUGCCAAUAGGGGGCACAACAUCAAUGGGGGCACUUGCCAACUGGUGCACAAUAGGGGGCACUUGCCAACUGAUUCUUCAUUCCGAUGGGCAAUUCUCAAUGUUUCUUCUGUUGUUGCUACCUCUCUUUCAUGCUUCUUCCGCAGUCGCAGCAAGCCUACCCUGCCUCUGCUACCUAGAUUCCCUCCACCCCUUCCUGCAGAUCAUCUCCGCGGUUAUACACUUGUUACGGGUCAUACUGUCCAUUUUUCAGAUCCACUACCCCGCCUAAACUCAAUCGACCCAAACAUGACCUGUCUAAACAACGUCGACCUAAACGGGACCGGGUCAUAGAGCUGGAGAAGCCCAAUGAUGACCAUCAGGUUCAUCCUGAUUGCACUGAUCCUAGAUCGUGCAUUAUGUAUUAUUAUGGGAUGCUUCUCUCCUUCUCCACCACCACCUCCACCACCACCACCGUCGUUGUCGCAUCUUGUGCAUGUUGCGGAGCGACCACCACCAGAGAGUACACUUACCUCAUUAGUAAUUAUUCAGAUGAUACCACCACCGAUGCACCUACCACACAUGUCUGCUAUAGAGCGGCCACCACCUACAAUGUCGCUUGUGCCAGAAGGUUGCACUGAACAGUGGGUUGUAGCAGCUUGACUUUAGACCCGGUUCCCAUAAUCUAUAUUUGUAUUUUGUAAAGAAAAUUUAUAUUUAAUAGAUAAAUUUCUUGAGUCUUUCAAAGCAGAAAAAAAUAAAGAUGCUAAAGAAGAAGAAUAUGAUAUUAAGUGUGAGGGCAUGUCGUAGGGCAGGAUAAAUAAAGACUAUUAUGUAGAGAUUGUUUUUACUAAUGGAGGGUAAGAGGUGCAUCCAAUGGUGUCGUACUGACUAUUGGUUGAGCUAUGAGAGACCCAAGUCGAAUCAUUAUUCAAAUAUAUGUUUUCUCUUAUAAUUUAGAAUUAAUACUCACACGCCUAAAAAUAUUAUUAAUACUCACACUAUGAAGUAAUUAAAUUUUGUUUAUUUUCUACUCUCUCAUAUUUACUUUUAAAAUUUUCAAUAUAUAACACACAUAUAUAAUUAAGAAUCUCAAAAUCAAUUACAUUCAAAAUAAUUAUUUAUUUUAUAAAUAAAUUGUGACUAUCACAAUUUCAAAUUAAAAUUAUCAAAAACACUUUAGUAAAUAAAUAUUUUUUUCGAAAGUAAAAAGAUGUAUUAAUCAUAGCUUUGAGAACAAAGCUUAAACAGAGUCAAAGAAGACAUGAGCGAUUAGUAGCAACAAAAAGCUAACCACUCGACGCUAAAGGACGGUCCCCAAACAUAAAAUCCAAACCAAUAAGCUAUACAACACCAAUAAUCUAAAGUCAUCCAAAAACAAAAGAAGCCCCACAUAACCAAAUCCAACCCAAGAGCUUAAAACAAUAGCUAGAGUACAAAUAAGAGAAUUGAAGAUUAUGUGUGACUACCAAUUAAGGAGUGCUUCUUGCACUUAUACUAGGCAUGACUACAAAAUAUAAAAUUGUUCAUGCUAUCAUUUAUACUUUGAUUACUUGUUAGCACCUAUAAAUUCAUGUCCUCUAUGAGUAAAAACUACUAAAGAGAAAUACAUAAACAUAGGAGAAAGAAGAGAGCUUUUUAAAAAGAAACUCAUGUCGCCACCACCUGCCACUCCUUCUCUUCAAGACUCAACGUGGAACAAACAUUUGUUAUGGAUUCGGCCUUCACCUACGCCAUAUUGUUUAUCCUCUUCAUCAACACGGCUAUUUUUAAUUAUUCUUGCAGUAUUGGUUGGGGUUUCACUUAUUUUAAACAUCGCCACAUUAUAUGCCACAUUAUAUGCGUAUACUAAGAAGAAAAAGAAGAGUAAUGAGGUUCUUCCAUGAAAAUAGCGGAUCUAGGGUCAUAAAGGUUCAAGAAAAUAAACUUGCAAUUCUCUAUGCAUCAUCUAAUGUUUCUAUUCAAUAAUUAAUUAUUUUAGAGUGUGUUGGAUGAAGAAUUCUAGAAUUUUUGAGGAUUUGAAAUGAUAAAGAAUUCAAUUGAAUUUCUUUAAUUUAUUUGUAAUAUCACUUGUUUGGGUGAA